AAGGUUCGACUCGAGCGAAGCGAGAGAACGUUGCCGCAGGCAACGGCCCGAAGGGCGAGGCGCUUUAGCGCCGAGUAAUCCUUUCCCCACCACCA
rnacentral:sRNA from 1 species